rnacentral:rRNA from 1 species
GACCGUGAAAACCUGGGGCUCAACCCUGGGACGCCGGUCGAUACUGUCAUGGCUAGGGUCCGGUAGAGGGGAAUGGAAUUCCCGGUGUAGCGGUGAAAUGCGCAGAUAUCGGGAGGAACACCAGUAGCGAAGGCGGUUCCCUGGGCCGGUACCGACGCUGAGGAGCGAAAGCGUGGGUAGCAAACAGGAUUAGAUACCCUGGUAGUCCACGCCGUAAACGUUGGGUACUAGGCGUGGCGUCUUAUCAACGGAUGCCGUGCUCGAAGCUAACGCGUUAAGUACCCCGCCUGGGGAGUACGGCCGCAAGGCUAAAACUCAAAGGAAUUGACGGGAGCCCGCACAAGCGGCGGAGCAUGCGGCUUAAUUCGAUGCAACCCGAAGAACCUUACCUGGGCUUGACAUCGCGGGAAAAACCCUGGAAACAGGGUGUGCGAAAGCGCCCGUGACAGGUGGUGCAUGGUUGUCGUCAGCUCGUGUCGUGAGAUGUUGGGUUAAGUCCCGCAACGAGCGCAACCCUUGUCCUAUGUUGCCAGCACGUAACGGUGGGGACUUGUAGGAAACUGCCGGGGUCAACUCGGAGGAAGGUGGGGAUGACGUCAAGUCAUCAUGCCCCUUAUGCCCAGGGCUGCAAACAUGCUACAAUGGCCGGUACAAAGGGCUGCUAUACCGCGAGGUUGAGCGAAUCCCAUAAAGCCGGUCUCAGUUCGGAUUGGAGUCUGCAACUCGACUCCAUGAAGUCGGAGUCGCUAGUAAUCCCGGAUCAGCAACGCCGGGGUGAAUACGUUCCCGGGCCUUGUACACACCGCCCGUCACACUACGAAAGUCGGCAACACCCGAAGUCAGUGGCCUAACCCCUCGGGGAAGGAGCUGCCGAAGGUGGGGUUGGCGAUUGGGGUGAAGUCGUAACAAGGUAGCCG